rnacentral:rRNA from 1 species
GAGUUUGAUCCUGGCUCAGAGCGAACGCUGGCGGCAGGCCUAAUACAUGCAAGUCGAACGGACCCUUCGGGGUUAGUGGCGGACGGGUGAGUAACACGUGGGAACGUGCCCUUUGGUUCGGAACAACUCAGGGAAACUUGAGCUAAUACCGAAUGUGCCCCCAUCCUUAAACAAGAUGGGUGGGAAAGAUUUAUCGCCAUUGGAGCGGCCCGCGUCUGAUUAGCUAGUUGGUGGGGUAAAGGCUCACCAAGGCGACGAUCAGUAGCUGGUCUGAGAGGAUGAUCAGCCACACUGGGACUGAGACACGGCCCAGACUCCUACGGGAGGCAGCAGUAGGGAAUCUGCGCAAUGGGCGAAAGCCUGACGCAGCCAUGCCGCGUGAAUGAUGAAGGUCUUAGGAUUGUAAAAUUCUUUCAGCGGGACGAUAAUGACGGUACCCGCAGAAGAAGCCCCGGCCAACUUCGUGCCAGCCGCCGCAGU